rnacentral:lncRNA from 1 species
GCAAUUGUAGUAUAAAAUGAUGGUUAGCCUCUAAAUGCAGAGUCAAAAGGAUGAUCAAGUGCUGUAAGAAAUUUCCCUUUCUUUCUCCUGGUAAACAAAAAAUUAUAAUUCAGCACACUAAACCCAAAUGCAGCCAGGGGCAAAGUGAUUAGAAAGAAGCAUGCUCAUCCAAAAACCAAAGAAACAAAAGCAACUCAAACCAUUAAUGAUACAAACAAUUUAUAUUAAAUGUUGACCGAUACAAAACCCACUUAGUUCUUCCAACUCUGAAACUCUGUUCCAACCUUACUGGUAUGAACUAUCCAAAAUUCAGUUUGAGGUUCCAUGAACUAUUCAAUCUAACAAUUCAAGAUUGAAAGACUUUCCUUGCAUAUUCACAAUAAUUAAUAACUAGUAAACAUUGAGACUUCACCCAUCCAUUAUAUCAAACUCGGAAAAGAAAUAAUAAGGAAAAAUUGCAGUAGAGGUAAUUACAAGUAAAUGCACAUGUAUCAACAAUUUCUGGUGCAAUGGUUGAACCAGAUAAGAAACAAUAUAGCUACAACAGGGGCAAGAAUAUCCAUAAAAAGUUAUAUUUAGCUAAAGAAUAAAUAACUUAACUUUUCAAGUAUCACCUUCUAACUAAUCAUCAGUUCUUCAACUUAACUUGUGCCGACGCAAACCUUAUGUUCUUCGAGCUCCAACCUUCAAGCGCAUGCCAUUUUUAACAAAUUAGACUUUAUAAAUUUUCUAUUUCUAAUUAACAAUCAUCAGACUAUAUUGCAAACAAUUUAAUUUAAAAAUCAAACAAAAGAAGUAAAAUAACCCAACAUGACUUUUGAAGGAACUCCACCAUGCAACAUAAUAAAAUUAAAAAUUAGCUACUAACCCUAUCGUGGAAUUAUUUAAAGACGAGGUAGAGGUACUAACCUUAGAAAUAGAAAUUGAAAUAGUAAACAAAAUAAGAAAAUUAAAAAGUAAUAUUUAGCUAAAGAAUAAAGAACUUAACCUUUAAAAUGAGCUUCUAACCGAUCAUAAGUUUUUCAACUUAACUUGUGCCGAUGCAAACUUUAUGUUCUUUGAGCUCCAAGCUUCAAGCACAUAACAUUUUAACAAAUUAGAGUUUAUAAAUUUUCUAUUUCUAAUUAACAAUCAUCACACUAUAUUACAAACAAUUCAAUUCAAACAUCAAACAAAAGAAGUCAUUCAAACAAAAAUAUUAAAAAAACCCAACAUGACUUUUGGAGUGACUCCACCAUGCAACUUAAUAAAAUUAAAGAUUAGCUACUAACCCUAUAAUGAAAUUACUUAGAAAUGAGGUAGAGGUACUAACCUUAGAAAUAUAAAUUGAGAUAGUGAACAUAAUAAGAAAAUUGAAAAGCUAUAUUUAGCUAAAGAAUAAAUAACUUAACUUUUCAAGUAUCACCUUCUAACUAAUCAUCAGUUCUUCAACUUAACUUGUGCCGACGCAAACCUUAUGUUCUUCGAGCUCCAACCUUCAAGCGCGUGCCAUUUUUAACAAAUUAGAGUUUAUAAAUUUUCUAUUUCUAAUUAACAGUCAUCAGACUAUAUUGCAAACAAGUCAAUUCAAAAAUCAAACAAAAAAAAGUAAUAUAACCCAACAUGACUUUUGAAGGAACUCCACCGUGCAACUUAAUAAAAUUAAAAAUUAGCUACUAACCCUAUCAUGGAAUUACUUAAACACGAGGUAGAUGUGCUAACCUCAGAAAUAGAAGUUGAGAUAGUAAAAAAAAUAAGAAAAUUAAAAAGUUAUACUUAGCUCAAGAAUAAAGAACUUAACCUUUCAAGUAUCAGCUUCUAACUGAUCAUCAAUUUUUCAACUUAACUUGUGCCGACCCAAACCUUAUCUUCUUCGAGCUCCAACCUUCAAG